rnacentral:rRNA from 1 species
UACGUAGGGGGGCAAGGCGUUUUGUCCGGAUUUUUAUUUGGGGCGUAAAGAGCGUGUAGGCGGCUGGGGUAGGUCCGUUUGUGAAAACUCGAGGCUCAACCUCGAGACGCCGAUGAAAACCCCUUCCAGCUAGAGUCCGGAAGAGGAGAGUGGGAAUUCCUGGUGUAGCGGUGAAAUGCGCAGAUACCAGGAAGAACACCCCGUGG